rnacentral:rRNA from 1 species
AUUGAACGCUGGCGGCAGGCCUAACACAUGCAAGUCGAGCGAGCGGCGGACGGGUGAGUAAUGUCUGGGAAUCUGCCCGAUGGAGGGGGAUAACUACUGGAAACGGUGGCUAAUACCGCAUACCAUCAGAUGUGCCCAUAUGGGAUUAGCUAGUAGGUGGGGUAAAGGCUCACCAAGGCGACGAUCCCUAGCUGGUCUGAGAGGAUGACCAGCCACACUGGGACUGAGACACGGUCCAGACUCCUACGGGAGGCAGCAGUGGGGAAUAUUGCACAAUGGGCGCAAGCCUGAUGCAGCCAUGCCGCGUGUAUGAAGAAGGCCUUCGGGUUGUAAAGUACUUUCAGCGGGGAGGCGUUACCCGCAGAAGAAGCACCGGCUAACUCCGUGCCAGCAGCCGCGGUAAUAC